UUCUGCAUCCCUCAUUAGUUUUAUUGGCUGUAACAGGUAGUAAUGUUUUAAGAUUAUUCUGGAAAUAGUUAGCCCCGCCCACUCCCAAGGCCUUGGUUGAGACUGUCCGUCGCACAGGAGAGAGUGCACAGCAAGAGGGGAGAACGGGAGAGAGAAAAAGACGAUCAGAAGUAGAAAAUCAUAAUCAUUAAUUUAAGCAGUGAACUUAAAGAGCAGCUCCUUAAAUGACCCAGGGACCAAAUAUUUUCCAGAUCGCACACUUCAUUUUCUUUCCUUGGGAUCUUGGCGAGUUUAAAUAUUAAAUUUUUACCAAAGUAUCGUAACUGUAGCAGCAACACGUGUGCUAUUAACUCCGUGUUCCUUGAAAAUAGCGUUAGCCACACGUGGCACGUAAUAUUUUUCAGUUUACACACUUCCGUUUCUUCCUUUGGGAUCUCGGUGAGUUUAUAUUUUAAAUUUAGCUAAAGUAUCGCCAUUGUAGCAGCCACACGUGUGUUAUUAAGUCCGCGUUUCCUUGAAAAUGGCAUUAGCCACACGUGGCUGGGUUUUUUGGAUACCCUAGAAGAAACCUGUGAACCUAGGAUUCUCUCCCUGACGAGGGAGAUGGCGAGCCGACCAACUUGGUUCAUCUUCAUCCACUUGAGGAAGGACCCCCUGAUACCCCUUGUUUCUCCCAGCCCCACUCUGGUGUGGUAGGAUUGUGAUUGAGAAAUUACAUAAUUUUAUUUGAUACUUUAUUUUUUUUUAAAAACGGUGCACCCAACCAACAAAACUGACUUGAAACCAACUAAAUUGAACUAAACCAGACUGAACAGAAGACAUUCAGAACUUAAUGGACAGUGAAUACAGUUACAACACUCAGGGCAUUGAUAUGAAGACAAAUGAAUGUGGUUAAAUGUGAUAAGUAAAUGCUGGCUUUACAUGUUAUCAUCACACUUUCUUUAAUACAGUUUUAACCAUUUUGCACUUA